GCCUCCAUAGCUCAGUGGCUAGAGCGCUGAUCUAGUAAACCAGAGACCAGGAGUUCGAUUCUCCUUGGAGGCA
rnacentral:tRNA from 1 species